AUGAUCUUACAACCUACAAUUUUUCUCCGAAUAUAUGUCUAAUACCAUAUAUUACUCCUAUAUUCUGAAAUCAAUAUAUAUUAUUGAAUAUCUAAAAAUGGAAAACUUACCCAAGUAGUGCUAGAGACACCGAUUUAUACCAAAAUCAUAUAGGGUCAAUUACAUAUAAGUCCAUUUUGAGACAUUUUUUCUCACAUAGGUUCAUCCCAACAUUUUUACCCAGAUAAGUCCACCUAAGUCUAAAUAAGGUUUUGUAUUAAGUAUUAAAGUUCAACAUAAUUACAGACUGCUAUCCAACAAAAAAAAUUAAAUUUUCUCCUUUAUAUUUACAAGAAUGCCACUAGCAUAAAAAGUCAACAACUACUCUUAUUUCGGAACAGUCUCCGGUGGACCUCCGGCGAGAUUUCCAGCGGACCUCCGGCGAGGUUUCAGGCGGACCUCCGGCGAGGUUUCCGACCGACCUCAGACGAUGACAAAAGCUACUACCACCAGCUAUAAAAGCUACUACCACCAGCUAUAAAAGCUACUACCACCAGCUACAAAAGCUACUACCACCGCCUACAAAAACUACUACUGUGAGGUUUCCGAUGAACACAAAAGCCACUACCACCAGCCACAAAAGCUACUAUCACAAGCUACAAAAGCUACUACCACCGCCUACAAAAGCUACUACUGUGAGGUUUCCAAUGAACACAAAAGUUACUACCACCAGCCACAAAAGCUACUACCACCAGCUACAAAAGCUACUACCACCGCCUACAAAAGCUACUAUUGUGAGGUUUCCGACGAACACAAAAGCUACUACCACCGCAUACAAAAGCUACUACCACCGCCUACAAAAGCUACUACUGUGAGGUUUCCGAUGAACACAAAAGCUACUACGACCAGCCACAAAAGCUACUACCACAAGCUACAAAAGCUACUACCACUGCCUACAAAAGCUACUACUGUGAGGUUUCCGACGAACACAAAACUACUACCACCAGCUAAAAAAGCUACUACCACCGCCUACAAAAGCUAAAGCUACUACCACCGGCACCAAAAGCUACUACUGGUGAUACCAAAAGCUACUACUGGUGAUACCAAAAGCUACUACCAGCGGUACCAAAAGCUACUACUUACUAUUAUAAGGACCAAAAGCUACUACCACCGGCACCAAGAGCUACUACUGCUUAUAUCAAAAGCUACUACCGCCGACACCAAAGGCUGCUACUAUUGGUGUAUCAAAAAGAUACUAUCGUACACAAACUAUUAUUGUUACAAUUUUAGAAGCUUCCCUUCUGCUAAGGCCAGAAAUUGAAGUAGAGAAGUGAUAGAUGAGGAGCUCCCGACUAGUCGCUUGAGGUGUGAAAGGUCGGCGAGUCGGUGAUGGAGCUCCCAACUCCAAUAGCGGCUGAUGAUGAGUCUACGAGCGUCGUUGUUGCAAGACAGACGGCGGAGCCAAGGCGUUGUCGAUCCAACGGAGUUGAGAUGCAAGCGUCGUCACUGUUGAUCUGGCAACAUCGAGGUCAAGGCGUCAACGUCAACGUCGAGCCAGCGUCGUCGUCGAUCCAGUAGCGUCAAGAUCUAGGCGUCGUCAUCAUUGAUCUGGCGACGUCGAGGUAGAGCUGGCGACGUUGAGGUCAAGGUGUCAUCCUCAUCUAUCCGGCGGUGCCAAGCCGGUAAUGACUUGAGACGCCGCCAUGGCUGGGGAUUGCGGUAGCUCUGGCGGACAUACAUCUUCUCCGUGUUGGUCUGAGAGCCGCCAUGGCCAGAGAUUUGAGCUUAGAGAAGAGAGGGAUGAUGAAGAUGAAGAGCCAAAGAGAGAGAGAAGGGAAAGUGAAAAGUGAAAACUGGUCAUGUGAUAGAAUGGAGAGAGAGAUACAUAUUUGAAGGGAAAGGAGGGUAUUUUAGGAACAUCAUAAAAGUAAAGUGACAGGUUUAGGCUUAAAAGUGGACUUAUACGGGUAAAAAUAUUAAGGUGGACUUAUGUUACAAAAAAUGUUGAGAAAGUGACUUUAGUGAAAUUUUCUAAAUCAUAUACCAAAUUAUGUGGCUGGUGCUAACUCAUCAGCUCUAUUUGGAAGGUUGCCAACAUGAAUUCUCUUUACUAAUUAUUCAUUACAAAUCUGUCCAACACAAAUUAUUUAUUAACUCUUUUAUCUAACUAUAUAAAUCAGGACAGUAAUUUAUUUAUUUAUUUAUUUAAGAAAUCCAAACCUGUUAUAUUGCACAGCCUUGGUCGUUCUCAUCUAAACUCAACUUUGUAGAUAUGGUUGGCCUAGGGACUUUGGCCCUUUCUCAUGAUAAAGCGUCUCAAUGAAAACCGGUACCGAGAUUUGAAUCUCCAUAUGAAAUUUUGGAUAUCUAUUGGACAAAUAUUGUAAGUCUUGUAUAUUGAUUUUUUUUUUUUUUUUUUUUUUUUUUACUAAAAUCUCCAAAUU
rnacentral:lncRNA from 1 species